GAUCAUGGCUCAGGACGAACGCUGGCGGCGCGCCUAACACAUGCAAGUCGAACGAGAGAUGAGGAGCUUGCUCUUCAAAUCGAGUGGCGAACGGGUGAGUAACGCGUGAGGAACCUGCCUCAAAGAGGGGGACAACAGUUGGAAACGACUGCUAAAUACCGCAUAAGCCCACGGCUCGGCAUCGAGCAGAGGGUAAAAGGAGUGAUCCGCUUUGAGAUGGCCUCGCGUCCGAUUAG
rnacentral:rRNA from 1 species